rnacentral:rRNA from 1 species
UUAAAUUGAGAGUUUGAUCCUGGCUCAGGAUGAACGCUGGUGGCGUGCCUAAUACAUGCAAGUCGUACGCUAGCCGCUGAAUUGAUCCUUCGGGUGAAGUGAGGCAAUGACUAGAGUGGCGAACUGGUGAGUAACACGUAAGAAACCUGCCCUUUAGUGGGGGAUAACAUUUGGAAACAGAUGCUAAUACCGCGUAACAACAAAUCACACAUGUGAUCUGUUUGAAAGGUCCUUUUGGAUCGCUAGAGGAUGGUCUUGCGGCGUAUUAGCUUGUUGGUAGGGUAGAAGCCUACCAAGGCAAUGAUGCGUAGCCGAGUUGAGAGACUGGCCGGCCACAUUGGGACUGAGACACUGCCCAAACUCCUACGGGAGGCUGCAGUAGGGAAUUUUCCGCAAUGCACGAA